rnacentral:lncRNA from 1 species
GUUUUCUCUAAGUAAAGAUUUGAGUUACUUUGUCUCUCUUACCAUUUCUCUCUUGCCAUUUCUCUCUUUCCAUUUCUCUCUUGCCAUUUCUUUUUAAAAUGGCUUCUUCUUCCUCGGAUAAUUUUGAAAACAUGAUGGAUGAAACAUUUGAUCAACUUUUUGAGCAACAAUUCGAACAACUUUGCAGUCACCAUGAUGAUCGUCAACAAGCAUCAAGGUCCAAAAAAAAGAGAGCCUACAUUGAAAGACAACGAGAACAAGGACACAUGCAGUUAUGAAACGAUUAUUUUAGUGAAGAGGCAACCUAUCCUUCUCACAUGUUUCGACGUCGUUUUAGAAUGAACAAGUCUUUGUUCAUGCGUAUUGUUGAUCGACUCUCCGCUGAAAUCUCAUACUUUCAACAAAGAAGAGAUGCUACUGGAAGGUUCGGUCACUCUCCAUUACAAAAGGCAACGGCAGCAAUUCGUAUGAUGGCAUAUGGUUGCGCAGCUGAUGCCAUAGACGAAUACCUCCGACUUGGUGAGAGCACCGCACUUUUAUGCUUGGAACAUUUUGUUCAAGGAAUCAUAAAUUUAUUUGGAGAUGAGUAUCUGAGAAGACCCACACCAGAAGAUCUUCAACGACUACUCGAUAUUGGAGAGUUACGCGGAUUUCCCGGGAUGAUAGGAAGC